UUAUUAAAUAUUUGUGAAGUGUUUUGUAAGUAUUAGUUAAGUGCUUGUUAAGUGUAAUUGUUUGUGAAGUAUUUAUUGAUGGGUGAAGUGUUUGUGUAUUUAAGUGUUAAGGUGUUUGUGUUAAGUAUGAAGUGUGCGGUUUAAAUUGUAGUGCUUGUUAAAUGUUAGUAUUUGUGAAGUUUGAAGUGUGAAGUGUCUGUAUCUUUGUGUUCAAGUGUUAAAUGUUAAUGUGUUUAUUUAAGUAUGAAGUGUUAAAGUAUUUGUUUUUAAGUGUGAAAUAUGUAGUAUGAAGUAUAAAGUGGUGUGAAGUGUGCGGAUUAAGUUGUAGUGUUUGUUAAAUUUUAGUGGUUGUGAAGUUUGAAGUGUGAAGUGUUUGUGUUCAGGUGUUAAAUGUUAAAGUGUUUAUUUAAGUAUGAAGUAUUAUAGUAUUUGUUUUGAAGUGUGAAGUAUGUAGUAUGAAGCAUAAAGUAAUUUGAAGUGAUUUGAAAUAAUUAAGUGUUUGUGUGUUUGGGUGUUUAGGUGUUUUUUAAGUCCUUGUAAAGUGUUUUUGAAAUGUUUUGUUUGGUGCUUGUUAAGUGUUUGGUGAAGUGUUGGAGUGUGAAGUAGUGUAAAUUAGUGUGAAGAAUGAAGUGUGAAGUGUGAAGUGUGAAAUGUGAAGUGUAUAGUAGUGUGAUGAAGCGUGAGGCGUGAUGUAGUGCGAAGAUGUGUGAAUUGUGAAGUGUGAAGUGUUGUGAGGUGUGCAGUGAUGCAAGGGUGUUUAAGUGUAUGCGUAUUGUGUGUUGUGUGAAGCGUGAAGCGUGAAGCGAGAAGUAGUAUGAAGUGUGAAGUGUUGUGAAGUGCGAAGUAUGCAGUGGUGCAAGGGUGUUUAUGUGUGAAGUGUGUAGUGUGAAGUAAUGUGAAGAAGUUUGAAGUGUGUGCAGGGUGCAGUGGCAAGGGUGCAAGGGUGUUUAAGUAUUAAGUGUUUAUAUGUGAAAGUGUUAAGUGUUAAGUGUUAAGUGUUAGUGUUUCUUAAGGGUUUAUGUGUGAAAAUGUGUCGUGCGAAGUGUGAUGUUUAAGUUUUAGUAUUCUUAAGUGUGUAAAUGUGCUUGUGUGUUAAGAUGUUAAGUAUUUAAGUGUGGAAGUGUGUUUAGGUGUUAAGUGUUUAGCUAAUUAAGUGUUUAUGUGUGAAAGUGUGUUGUGUGAACUGUGAUAUUUAAGUAUUAGUAUUUUUUAAGUGUGAAGUGUGCAAGUGUGUUUGUGUGUUAACGUGUUAAGUAUUUAAGUUUGGAAGUGUGAAAGUGUGAAGUGAUGCUUAAGUGUUAGUGUUUGUGAAACAUUUGUUAAAAUGGGUGCUUAAGUGUUAAGUAUUAAAGUGUGUGUUUAAGAGUUAAGUGUUAAAGUGCUUUUCCAAGUGUGAAGUGUGAUGUUCAAUGAAGUGUUUUGUAAGUGUUAGUUAAGUUCUUGUUAAGUGUAAUUGAUGUGUAAAGUGUUUAUUGACGUGUGAAGUGUUUGUGUAUUUAGGUGUUAAGAUGUUUGUGUUAAGUGUUUAAGUGUGAAGUGUGCAGUUUAAAUUGUAUUGCUUGUUAAAUGUUAGUGUUUGUGAAGUUUGAAGUGUGAAGUGUUUGUGUGUUUGUGUUCAGGUGUUAAAUGUUAAAGUGUUUAUUUAAAUAUGAAGUGCUAAAAUAUUAAAUGUUAAAGUGUUUAUUUAAAUAUGAAGUGUUAAAGUAUUUGUUUUUAAGUGUGAAGUAUGUAGUAUGAAGCAUAAAGUGAUGUGAAGUGAUUUGAAGUGGUUGAGUGUUAAGUAUUAAAGUGUGUGUUUAAGAGUUAAGUGUUAAAGUGUUUUUUCAAGUGUGAAGUGUGAUGUUCAAGUGUUAGUAUUUGUUAAAUAUUUGUGAAGUGUUUUGUAAGUGUUAGUUAAGUGCUUGUUAAGUGUAAUUGUUUGUGAAGUAUAUAUUGACGUGUGAAGUGUUUGUGAAUUUAGGUGUUAAGGUGUUUGUGUUAAGUGUUUAAGUGUGAAGUGUGCGGUUUAAGUUGUAGUGCUUGUUAAUUGUUUGUGUGUUUGUGUUUAAGUCUUAAAUGUUAAAGUGUUUAUUUAAGUAUGAAGUGUGAAAGUAUUUGUUUUUAAGUGUGAAGUAUGUAGUAUGAAGCGUAAAGUGAUGUGAAGUGGUUAAGUGUUUGUGUGUUUGGGUGUUUAGGUGUUAAGUGUAAUGUGUGAUUUUUAAGUGUUUUAUUAAGUGUUAGUAUUUGUUAAGUCCUUGUAAAGUGUUUUUGAAAUGUUUUGUUUGGUACUUGUUAAGUGUUUGGUGAAGGGUUGGAGUGCGAAGUGUUGAAGUGUUUGGUGAAGUAUGAAGUGUGAAGUGUGAAGUGUGAUGUGUGAUGUAGUGUGAUGAAGCAUGAAGCGUGAAGUAGUGUGAAAAAGCGUGAAGUGUGAAAUGUGAAGUAGUAUGAAGUGUGAACUGUGAAGUGUUGUGAAGUGCGAAGUGCGAAGUGUGUAGAAUGCAAGGGUGUUUAAGUGUUUAGUAUUAAGUUUUUAAGUGUUUAAGUGUUUAGUAUUAAGUUUUUAAGUGUUUAAGUGUUUAUGUGUUUAGUGUUUAGUGUGAAGUGUGAUAUUUAAGUGUUAGUGUUCUUAACUGUGAAGUGUGUAAGUGUGUUUGUGUGUUAAGGUGUUAACUAAUUAAGUGUGGAAGUGUGCAAGUGUGUUUAGGUGAUAAGUGUUUCGGUAUUUAAGUGUUUAUGUGUGAAAGUGUNNNN
rnacentral:lncRNA from 1 species